GACGAACGCUGGCGGCGUGCCUAAUACAUGCAAGUCGAACGAGAGCAACCGGUGCUUGCACUGGUCAAUCUAGUGGCGAACGGGUGAGUAACACGUGGGUAACCUGCCCAUCAGAGGGGGAUAACAUCCGGAAACGGAUGCUAAAACCGCAUAGGUCUUCGAACCGCAUGGUUUGAAGAGGAAAAGAGGCGCAAGCUUCUGCUGAUGGAUGGACCCGCGGUGCAUUAGCUAGUUGGUGAGGUAACGGCUCACCAAGGCCGUGAUGCAUAGCCGACCUGAGAGGGUGAUCGGCCACAUUGGAACUGAGACACGGCCCAAACUCCUACGGGAGGCAGCAGUAGGGAAUCUUCCGCAAUGGGCGCAAGUCUGACGGAGCAACGCCGCGUGAGUGAAGAAGGUUUUCGGAUCGUAAAACUCUGUUGUUAGAGAAGAACAAGUGCUAGAGUAACUGUUAGCGCCUUGACGGUAUCUAACCAGAAAGCCACGGCUAACUACGUG
rnacentral:rRNA from 1 species